ensembl:lncRNA
GGCUGGGGGGAGUCCUAUAGAGUUUAGGGGGGGCAAGACAGUGGGGUCCUAUGGGGUUUGGGGGGUCCUAUUGGAUUUGGGGGGACAAUACAGUGGGGUCCUAUGGGGCUGGGGGGUCCUAUGGGGUUUGGGGGCCAAUACAGUGGGGUCCUAUGGGGAUGGGGGGCUCCUAUAGGGCUGUGGGGGGGUUCUAUGGGGCUGGGGGGAGUCCUAUAGAGUUUAGGGGGAGCAAUACAGUGGGGUCCUAUGGGGUUUGGGGGGUCCUAUUGGAUUUGGGGGGGCAAUACAGUGGGGUCCUAUUGGGUUUGGGGGGGUUAUAUGGGGUUUGGGGGGUCCUAUGGGGCUGGGGGGAGUUCUAUAGGGUUUGGGGGGCAAUACAGUGGGGUCCUAUGGGGUUUGGGGGGGUCCUAUGGGGUUUUGGGGGCUCCUAUAGGAUUUCGGGGGCAAUACAGUAGGGUCCUAUGGGGAUGAGGGGAGUCCUAUGGGGUUUGGGGGGCCAUACAGUGGGGUCCUAUGGGGUUUGGGUGGGUCCUAUGGGGCUGUGGGGGGGUCCUAUGGGGCUGUGGGGAGUCCUAUAGAGUUUGGGGGAGCAAUACAGUGGGGUCCUAUGGGGAUAGGGAGGUCCUAUGAGGUUUGGAGGAGUUAUAUGGGGUUUUGGGGGGUCCUAUGGGGCUCUGGGUUCCUAUGGGGUUGGGGGGGGGCAAUACAGUGGGGUAUUAUGGGGUCCGGGGUGGUCCUAUGGGGCUGUGGGGUCCUAUGGGGUUGGCGGGGGCAAUACAGUUGGGUCCUAUGGGGAUGGGGGGGUCUUAUGGGGUUUGGGAGUGUUAUAUGGGGUUUUGGGGGGUCCUAUGGGGCUGUGGGGUUCUAUGGGGCUGGGGGGAGUCCUAUAGAGUUUGGGGGGGCAAUACAGUGGGGUCCUAUGGGGUUUGGGGGGUCCUAUUGGAUUUGGGGGGGCAAUACAGUGGGGUCCUAUGGGGAUGGGGGGGUCUUAUGGGGUUUGGGAGUGUUAUAUGGGGUUUUGUGGGUCCUGUGGGGCUGCGGGGUUCUAUGGGGUUGGGGGGAGUCCUUUAGAGUUUAGGGAGGGCAAUACAGUGGGGUCCUAUGGGGAUGGGG